UUUGAUCCUGGCUCAGAGCGAACGCUGGCGGCAGGCUUAACACAUGCAAGUCGAACGGGCGUAGCAAUACGUCAGUGGCAGACGGGUGAGUAACGCGUGGGAACGUACCUUUUGGUUCGGAACAACUGAGGGAAACUUCAGCUAAUACCGAAUAAGCCCUUACGGGGAAAGAUUUAUCGCCGAAAGAUCGGCCCGCGUCUGAUUAGCUUGUUGGUGAGGUAACGGCUCACCAAGGCGACGAUCAGUAGCUGGUCUGAGAGGAUGAUCAGCCACAUUGGGACUGAGACACGGCCCAAACUCCUACGGGAGGCAGCAGUGGGGAAUAUUGGACAAUGGGCGAAAGCCUGAUCCAGCCAUGCCGCGUGAGUGAUGAAGGCCCUAGGGUUGUAAAGCUCUUUUGUGCGGGAAGAUAAUGACGGUACCGCAAGAAUAAGCCCCGGCUAACUUCGUGCCAGCAGCCGCGGUAAUACGAAGGGGGCUAGCGUUGCUCGGAAUCACUGGGCGUAAAGGGUGCGUAGGCGGGUUUCUAAGUCAGAGGUGAAAGCCUGGAGCUCAACUCCAGAACUGCCUUUGAUACUGGAAGUCUUGAGUUCGGGAGAGGUGAGUGGAACUGCGAGUGUAGAGGUGAAAUUCGUAGAUAUUCGCAAGAACACCAGUGGCGAAGGCGGCUCACUGGCCCGAUACUGACGCUGAGGCACGAAAGCGUGGGGAGCAAACAGGAUUAGAUACCCUGGUAGUCCACGCCGUAAACG
rnacentral:rRNA from 1 species